AGGCCCCUGCUAGACCCAUGGAAAGCUGUAUGGAGAUUCCACUUCUCCGGGGUUUAGUAGUGAUUGGGCGGGGAUACCUGAGAGGGUGCCAGGAAAGGGCCCAGCAGUCGAAGAGAAGGGGCCAAGGAGUCGAUAAUUAUGAUGAGCUCUGGCUUUACAUGUGCACCUUGGUCUCCUGCUCGGAACCCUUGAAAAGAAGCUGCAGCUUUUCGAGGAAUGCAGGGGCAAGCAAGACUCACACAGGCACUGGCAUUCUCCUAGAUCCGAUGUCCCUUGCCCCACCCCUUACUGUGGCUCUGCCUUGGGUAAUCACAACAAAUCUUCAUGACUUGCCUAGGCUGUGCCAAAAAGAUGUAAAAGGAACCCACCAGGGUAAGAUGCCAACUUGCAGACGACGAUCAACUGUGUCUGACAAGGUUGUUCUGGAAUCAUACUUGAAGAAACAGUUGGCUAGACUCUAACAGCUGUUCACAAUUUCUUGUAUCUCUCCUGACGGAGGACAGUGUUUUUAAAGUGGCUACUCCAAAAAUAAUCACACAAGGCAGGAUUUCAUCUAUCCCUAAUAUUCUCAGAAGGUUAAUCAGUGGCAUGAUGACAGAAAAAGUGCUACAAAAGCCAUGUGAAGAAGUGCAUGUUUGCUUCCCCUUCUGUCAUGAUUGUAAGUUUCCUGAGGCCUCCAGAGCCAUGCUGAACUAAACCUAGUGAUUACAUUGAGCCUACCUGAAUAAUCCAGGAUAAUCGUCCCAUAUCAAGGAGAGCAAAGUGAAUUGUGUGAUUGGCUUAGAGGACAAUGCUGCUACAAAAACCUGUUCCACUCCAAGGCCAACUGCAGUUUUCAGAUGUUUGAGUUGCUCCCAGUUUUAUGCUACCAUGAAUGAGAGGACGGAUCCAACAUUCAAAUGGUCUGGGGUCUGUAUCUUAGCUCGGCCACUGGAUAGCUGUACAACUACGGAGUCUUGCUCUGUCGCCCAGGCUGGAGUGCAGUGGCGUGAUCUCGGCUCACUACAACUUCCGCCUCCCGGGUUCAAGCGAUUCUCCUGCCUUAGCCUCCCGAGCAGCUGGAACUACAGGCACGUGCCACCACGCCCAGCUAAUUUUUUUGUAUUUUUAGUAGAGACGGGGUUUCACCAUGUUAGCCAGGAUGGUCUCGAUUGUUCUGGAGUCUUUCUCUAAUACACUACAUACAAUCCAUAGGCAAAUUCUGUUGGCGUCACCUUCGAAAUCUACCCCAAAUCUUACUAUUUUUACAGCACUUCAACCACUAGUACCUUAUCAAAAACCACUUCUAUAUUUCCUGUAAAUUAUUGGAACAGCCCUUUACCUGGUCUUCCUGUUUCUGCCUUUUGCAUCCCUUCUUCCUUCCUCUCCUCCACACGUACCACUAAAAUCGCAACAUUGCAACUACAGUAAUAAAUACAUCACUUCUCUGCACAAAAGCUUCUGGUGGCUUACCCCCUCACUCAGGAAGUCUUUAUAGUACUCCAGAAGAUCACUUUCUGGCCUUUCCUGUUGGGCUCAUUUUCUAUUUCUACCUUGCCCACUCUGUUGCAGCCACAUUCUCCUCCCUGCUGAUUCGUGAACACACUGACCAUGCUCUUGCUUCAAGAACACUUACAUUGCUGUUCCCUCUGCCAGGACAGUUUCUCUAGUAUCCACUCACCUCAUUCAGUUUCUGCACAAAUGUCACUUUUACAAUAAAGUCAUCCCUAAAGAACUAAUUUAAAAUUGUACCCUACUAAAUAGCAAUCCCCUUACCUCACUUAGAACACUCUAAAAGUGCUCUAAAGGACUAAAUUAGCAAUUUAGCCCUUUAGUACCCCACUGAUUAGCAAUCCCCUUACCCCACUUAGAGAGUGCUCUACUAGUACUUCAGGUAGUACCAUCUGAACAGUGAUGCCACUGUCAGACUAAAAAUCACCAUCACAGGUAGAUACAUAAAUUUAAAUCAAAUAAACGUAAUCAUCUAAUUUGAACAUUAUAUUUCAUCUACAAUAUCCACUUAUUCAACAGGUAUUUAUUGACCAUGCUGUACAAUUUUCUAGGUGCAGAAGAUACAUCACUUAACAAAGAAGAUCACUACACUUGGUUACUUGGAGUUUAUAUUUGAAUUGGUAAAAUAUAUGGCAGAAACUGAAAGUACUGAAAAGGACUAAAUUAGUAAUGAGUAAUUUAGCCCUUUAGUGCCCUACUGAUUAGCAAUCCUCUUACCCCACUUAUAGAGUGCUCUUCUAGUACUUUAGAUAGCAGCAUCUAAACAGUAGCAUCUAAACCCCUUGGGAUUGCUAAUUACCCUACUUUAGGAGGUAAUUACAUGAGGAGGGUGAAGCCCUUAUGGAAGGAAUUAGGGUCCUUAUAAAAGCACUUGAGGCAGUGGGUCCACUCUCUUUUGCUCUUCCACCAUGUGAGGACACAGCAUUCAAAGCACCACCUUGGAAGCAGACACAAGGCUCUCACCAGACACCAAACCUGCCUGCCCCUUGAUUUUGGACAUCCAGCCUUCAGAACUGUGAGAAGUACGUGUCUAUUAUUUAUGAAUUACCCAGUCUGGUAUUUUAUUAUAGCAGCAUAAAGAGACUGUGAUAGAAGGUAUGAAUUUUUGUUCUAAAUGAGGACUGGGGGUGGUAGGAACUUGAAAGCAAUGCUAAUAUAACAAAUCAAUUAGAUUGCUUCUAGCUAUUUUAUUUUUCUUUCAUUAAUUAGUAAUUCCAAUCCAGUUCUGGGUCUGAAGUUCUGCAGGUAAAACAUGUUCCUUUUAGAUAUUUUCCUCUGAAAAGAAUUGGGGAAAUAUUGUAAAGGAAAAGGAAAAGGGAAAGGAGUGAUUCUGACAUUUAUGAAUUUGUGAUAUUAUGUACGGAAAUUAUAACCUGAUUGUAUAUUUCUGCCUCGUCUGCAUAUAGGGAAGUUAUUCAGCCCUUCCACCUUCUGCCAUGGGAUGGCACAGCAAGAAGGCCCUCAUCAGAUACAGGCCCCUCAGCCCUGGUUUUCCAGUCAUUAGAACUCAUUGCCAUCUGUAUUUUCACUCCUGAGAAGUUUGAAAAUUAAAAAAAAAAAAAAAGAUCAUCAAGAAUAAGGGAUGAACCACAAAAAGAAAGAAAGGCUGGAAGAGGGUUUUACAGAUUUUUAAGAAAUAUAACUCAUUUGCCUGAGCAUUCUUUCAAUAUCCUCAUUUUAAGGUUACUUCUAAAAAGAAGAAAUGAUUUUUAAUAUUUCCUUCAUCUGGAGAAAUAACUGUCGCUGUUCGGUAUUCACAGACUUCCUGCUGAGGACUGCUAUAGCAAUAAACUCUGGUCUCACGAUAGGCAGCCAUGAUGAGAAACGGCCCCUGCAUAGAGAUGGUUUGAACUGUGUGGCUCCCUCCUGCCCCAUAUAACCAUCGCGAGAAGAAUGUAACAGUGGCCUUCCGUUAGUGAACUUUUUACCGUGAUUCCCGAGUCAUGACCCCGACCCAACUUGAAAUCUACUGCUGGCAUUUUCUUGUCAUUGGUUUGACACAUGAAUUAGCAAUUUAAGACUUUGCCUCCAUACUAACACCAACAUCUUAUUUGUAUGGCUCUGGCGCUAGUUCCUGCCUCCUUGUCCUCUAACUCUAUCCCAGUUAUCACCCUUAAUUCAGUAUGCUGUUGGAUCUCUGGUUAAAUCUCUUAGAACUUUCCAUUCAAAAUAACAUACUUUAUACUUCAGAGCCACCCUUAGGUUUGGUACUUCUACUAUGUCCAUGAAUUGAAUUUUUGCAUCUGUUUCUCUAUAUACGUAUUUUUCAUUUAAGAUAUUUGUUCUUAAGUCGUAUAAUUUACCUGGUGAAAGACCAUACAACAGUACUUGCAUGUAGUCUCCCUAUAACUGAUGAACGUGCAUGUUUCUUUUCUCUGAUAAAUUUUAUGUCAAUUUUACUACAUUUUUGAAAUUCCCCCAGCGUAAUGUGGUAAAAUUUAUCAACUAGGUUUUAUACUGCUGUUUUAAAUGAAACAGAGUUGAAUUAAGGUAUAAUGCAUUCCCAUAAAAAUUGCCUAGGUUUCUUUUUUGAAAUCUCAUUUUAUACAGGCAGCCAAGAUAUUCAAAGUUGAUUGUAUGGAUAAAAAUUUCACUCAAAAAAGUACUCAAACCUAUCUCUGGUUUAUAGGACACGAUUUUAAAAUCUGGAUUUAAAUAUUAGAGGUUGGCUUUGUAGUUAGUUACUAG